rnacentral:tRNA from 1 species
UGAGGUGUGGCUCAGUGGUAGAGUACUUGCCUAGUAUGCAUAUGAGGCUCUAGGUUUGAUACCCAACACCACAA